UACGUAGGGGGCAAGCGUUGUCCGGAAUCACUGGGCGUAAAGCGCACGUAGGCGGAUUGCUAAGUCAGGGGUGAAAUCCUGGAGCUCAACUCCAGAACUGCCUUUGAUACUGGCGAUCUUGAGUCCGGGAGAGGUGAGUGGAACUGCGAGUGUAGAGGUGAAAUUCGUAGAUAUUCGCAAGAACACCAGUGGCGAAGGCGGCUCACUGGCCCGGUACUGACGCUGAGGUGCGAAAGCGUGGGGAGCAAACAGG
rnacentral:rRNA from 1 species